UACGUAGGAUGCAAGCGUUAUCCGGAUUUAUUGGGCGUAAAGCGUCCGUAGGCGGCUCUCUCAGGUCGUCGGUCAAAGACCGGGGCUCAACCCUGGAGGGGCCGUGGAAACUGGUGAGCUAGAGUGCGGUAGGGGCAGAGGGAAUUCCCAGUGUAGCGGUGAAAUGCGUAGAGAUUGGGAGGAACACCGGUGGCGAAAGCGCUCUGCUGGGGCGCAACUGACACUAAUGGACGAAAGCUAGGGGAGCGAAUGGG
rnacentral:rRNA from 1 species